CAGGUCUUGACAUCCCUCUGACCGGUCUAGAGAUAGGCCUUUCCUUCGGGACAGAGGAGACAGGUGGUGCAUGGUUGUCGUCAGCUCGUGUCGUGAGAUGUUGGGUUAAGUCCCGCAACGAGCGCAACCCUUAGGUUUAGUUGCCAGCACAUGAAGGUGGGCACUCUAGAUCGACUGCCGGUGACAAACCGGAGGAAGGUGGGGAUGACGUCAAAUCAUCAUGCCCCUUAUGACCUGGGCUACACACGUACUACAAUGGCCAGUACAACGGGAAGCGAAGCCGCGAGGUGGAGCGAAUCCUAUCAAAGCUGGUCUCAGUUCGGAUUGCAGGCUGCAACUCGCCUGCAUGAAGUCGGAAUUGCUAGUAAUCGCGGAUCAGCAUGCCGCGGUGAAUACGUUCCC
rnacentral:rRNA from 1 species